UCCCCUCUUUUGGGUUCCUUAUUGUUGCCGAAGGCUCAAUAAAGUCAUACGCGGAUCACAUUUGAAUCCAGAGAUCUCUUACCAACAACCUGCUAUUUUCAAUCUUUCCACUGCAGAACAAACCCUUUAAAAGGUUUAUGUAGUUUAGGGCAGCAAAUCGAGUGUAAUUACUUGUUAUGCUGUCUUUUUAAGCACUUAAGAUCUUCCUUAGUUAUUGUCUGAUGGACUUGUGUGUAUUUGGAGGAAUUUCACAUAGUGGGUGACAACCCCGUCGGUAUAAUGGUGGAUUCUCAAACUGGAAAGCCCAUUGUGUCUCUAUGUGGACAGACGGAUUUCUCAUUUGCAUCUGCUUGGCAUCCUGAAGGCCGCAUUUUUGCCACGGGGAACCAAGACAAACCCUGUCUUAUUUGGGAUGCUCGAAACUUGUCAAAGUCUGUUGCUGUGCUGAAGGGCAAUCUAGGAGCCAUUAGAUCAACUCGUUUUACAUCUGAUGGGCAGUUCAUGGCGAUGGAAGAGCCGGCAGACUUUUGCAUGUGUAUGAUACGAAGGUUUGAGAAAGAGCAGGAGAUACAGAAUCCCUCUUUAUAGGAGUGUGGGAUCGCAAUUAUGGAAGCCUCUUUCAGUACAACCGAUGCAGGAGUUACUCGUAUCUCGACUCCCUUAUGUGAUUAUCAGUCAUACCUUGAGAUCCUGCAUUUGCAAUUUCCUAUGAACAUGGGGAUGCUAGAUCUGACAUUCAUGCACAUGAUGAUGGUGACAUGCCUCAUGUUACUUUGCGGUAGAAAAGAAAUUGAGAAGAGACAUUAUACUGCUAUAAUAUCUUGCUCUGAAAUUAUGAUGGGUGACAUUGUAAGAGAGGAAGAAAUCGGACAUGAUGGCAUAGAACCGAUGGAGAGCAUGCAGGGAGACUUGGCGCGUAUCUGGUUAGGUAAACUGGAAUCACUGCAUGACUAAGGCUUGUGAUCGUUUACUCUUUUCCCUGACCCUUCUUUUUUAGAAGAAAUCAUGCAAAAAUGGCAUAGCUCCUAUUCAGAUUUGCAA